CUACGGGUGGCACCAGCAGGGAAUAUUGCACAAUGGACGGAAGUCUGAUGCAGCGACGCCGCGUGGAUGAUGAAGGCCCUCGGGUUGUAAAAUCCUUUUCAGGGGGACGAGGAAGGACGGUACCCUUGGAAUAAGCGUCGGCUAACUAACGUGCCAGCAGCCGUGGUAAGACGUAGGACGCAAGCGUUAUCCGGAUUUACUGGGCGUAAAGCGUCUGUAGGCGGAAUGGUAAGUUGGACGUGAAAGCUCCGGGCUCAACCCGGAGAGGUCGUUCAAUACUGCCAAACUAGAGGGCAUCAGAGGAGCGUGGAAUUUCCGGUGUAGCGGUAAAAUGCGCAGAUAUCGGAAGGAACACCAAUGGCGAAGGCAGCGCUCUGGGAUGAACCUGACGCUAAGAGACGAAAGCUAGGGGAGCGAACAGGAUUAGAUACCCGAGUAGUC
rnacentral:rRNA from 1 species